UACGGAGGAUCCGAGCGUUAUCCGGAUUUAUUGGGUUUAAAGGGUGCGUAGGCGGCCUUUUAAGUCAGCGGUGAAAGUCUGUGGCUCAACCAUAGAAUUGCCGUUGAAACUGGGGGGCUUGAGUAUGUUUGAGGCAGGCGGAAUGCGUGGUGUAGCGGUGAAAUGCAUAGAUAUAACUUAGAACACCGAUAGCGAAGGCAGCUUACCAGACUGAGUCUGACGCUGAUGCACGAGAGCAUGGGUAGCGAACAGG
rnacentral:rRNA from 1 species